CCUACGGGUGGCAGCAGUGGGGAAUAUUGCACAAUGGGCGAAAGCCUGAUGCAGCAACGCCGCGUGAAGGAAGAAGGCCUUCGGGUCGUAAACUUCUGUCCUUGGGGAAGAAGAACUGACGGUACCCAAGGAGGAAGCCCCGCCUAACUACGUGCCAGCAGCCGCGGUAAUACGUAGGGGGCAAGCGUUAUCCGGAAUUAUGGGGCGUAAAGAGUACGUAGGUGUCAACCUAUGCGCAGGGUUUAAGGCAAUGGCUCAACCAUUGUUCGCCCUGCGGACUGGGAUGCUUGAGUGCAGGAGAGGAAGGCGGAAUGCCUGGUGUAGCGGUGAAAUGCGUAGAUAUUAGAAGGAACACCGGUGGCGAAGGCAGCUUUCUGAACUGUAACUGACACUGAGGUACGAAAGCGUGGGGAGCAAACAGGAUUAGAUACCCUAGUAGUC
rnacentral:rRNA from 1 species